GGACUACCGGGGUUUCUAAUCCCGUUCGCUACCCAUGCUUUCGUGUCUGAGCGUCAGUUGCGAGCCAGGGCGCCGCCUUCGCCUCUGGGGUUCCUCCGGAUCUCUACGCAUUUCACCACUACACCCGGAAUUCCACGCCCCUCUCUCGCACUCUAGAAGCACAGUCUGGCAUACCCCUACCCAGUUUAGCUGGGUGCUUUCAUACACCACUUGUGCCCCCGCCUGCACACCCUUUACGCCCAGUAAAUCCGGAUAACGCUCGCCACCUACGUUUUACCGCGGCUGCUGGCAC
rnacentral:rRNA from 1 species